rnacentral:lncRNA from 1 species
GGCAGCUGGCUGGGGUCCCUUUCCACGACGUGGCGGCUUUGUUCUUUUGCUCUUUGCAAUAAAUCUUGCUACUGGUCAUUCUUUGGGUCCACACUGCUUUUAUGAGCUGUGAUACUCACCGCGAAGGUCUGUAGCUUCACUCCUGAAGCCAGUGAGACCACGAGCCCACUGGGAGGAACAAACAACUCCAGAUGCGCCGCCUUAAGAGCUGUAACACUCACCACCAAGGUCUGCAGCUUCACUUCUGAGCCAGCGACACCACGAACCCACCAGAAGGAAAAAACUCCGAACACAUCCGAACAUCAGAAGGAACAAACUCCAGACGCGCCACCUUAAGAGCUGUAACACUCACCGCGAGGGUCCGCAGUUUCAUUCUUGAAGUCAGUGAGACCAGGAACCCACCAAUUCGGGACACAGGAGGAUCACUUGAGCCCAGGAGUUCAAGACCAGCCUGGGCCAUAUGGCGAGACCCUGUCUUUAAAAAAAAAAAAAAAACAUAGGAAACACUGAAAGGGAAUGAUGUCAGUUUGAGACUGUUUUACUCUGUUGCCCAGGCUGGACUGCAGUGGCAUGAUCUCGGCUCACUACAACCUCCACCUCCUGGGUUCAAGCGAUUCUCCUGCCUCAGCUUCCCGAGUAGCUGGGAUACAGCUGCGUGCUACCACGCCCGGCCAAGUUUUGUUUUUUUUGAGACAGAGUCUUGCUCUGUUGUCCAGGCUAGAGUGUGGUGACGUGAUCUCGGCUCACUGCAACCUCCACCUCCCAGGUUCAAGCAAUUCUGCUUUAGCCCCCUGACUAGAUGGGAUUACAGGCACCUGCCACCAUGCCCGGCUAAUUUUUUGUAUUUUUAGUAGAGACAGGGUUUCACCAUGUUGGCCAGGCUGGUCUUGAACUCCUGACCUCAAAUGAUUAACCUGCCUUGGCCUCCCAAAGUGCUGGAAUUACAGGUGUGAGCCACUGCACCCUGUACCUCCACCACCUCCUGAGUACCUAGGACUACAGGAGCGUGCCACUACACCUGGCUAUUUUUUUAAUUUUCAAUUUUUUUUUUUUUUGUAGAGAAGGGGAUCUCACUAUGUUGCCCAGGCUGGUCUCAAACUCCUGGUCUCAAGCCCCUCAGACUUCUGCCUCGGCUUCCCAAAGUGCUGGGGUUACCGGCUGGGAUUUCAGAGCCCUGAAACAUCCUUAUAACAAUAUUAUUGACUUAUGAUUAUAAAAGUAAUUCAUGGUAGUUGUUGAACAUUUGGAAACUACGCACCAAACAAAAACAAAAAACACCCAAGUGGAAAAUAAAAAUCAUUGUUAAUUUCAUUCCGAUUGAGACGAAUUUAGUAUGUCCAAGAAAAAUGAGAAUGAAAGAUGACGGGGGAUAUCCCAGGAUCCACAGAGCUGUGUCGUUGAUCCCAGACUGUACUGUUUAUGGGGUGGAUCCUGCCAGCGUCCCUGUGGGGGCAGCCUUCACA